UACGGAGGGUGCAAGCGUUAAUCGGAAUUACUGGGCGUAAAGCGUGCGCAGGCGGUUUGUUAAGUCUGUUGUGAAAUCCCCGAGCUCAACUUGGGAAUUGCAAUGGAUACUGGCAGGCUGGAGUAUGGUAGAGGAAGGUGGAAUUCCCGGUGUAGCAGUGAAAUGCGUAGAGAUCGGGAGGAACACCCGUGGCGAAGGCGGCCUGCUGGGCUGGUCUUGACGCUGAGGCGCGAAGGCGUGGGGAGCGAACGGG
rnacentral:rRNA from 1 species